rnacentral:ncRNA from 1 species
GCCCAGUGACGCAAGUAAACGGCCGCGGUAUCCUGACCGUGCAAAGGUAGCAUAAUAAUUUGUUCUUAAUUAGGGACUGUAUGAAUGGCAUCACGAGGGUUUAACUGUCUCUUACAUUCGAUCAAUGAAAUUGACCUUUCCGUGAAGAGGCGGAAAUAACACAAUAAGACGAGAAGACCCUAUGGAGCUUAAAUUAAUAUUCCAACUUAAACAACUUCAAAUCUAAUCGAUGUAAAAUCUGCAACCACUGGAAUAAACAUUUUGGUUGGGGUGACCUCGGAGCAUAAAAAAACCUCCGAAGGACUAACAUUAAGACCAACUAGUCCAAAUUAUAAAUGUCCAAAUAUUGACCCAGAAAUAAUUCUGAUCAAUGAACCAAGUUACCCUAGGGAUAACAGCGCAAUCUUGUUAAAGAGUUCAUAUCGACAAUAAGGUUUACGACCUCGAUGUUGGAUCAGGACAUCCCAAUGGUGCAGCAGCUAUUAAAGGUUCGUUUGUUCAACGAUUAAAGUCCUACGUGAUCUGAGUUCAGACCGGAGCAAUCCAGGUCGGUUUCUAUCUAUUUACCUAUUUCUCCUAGUACGAAAGGACCAGAGAAAUGAGGCCAACUUUACAAAAGCGCCUUAAUACUUAAUAAAUGAUAUUAUAUCAACUUACAAAGUAACUUAACUCACUCAAUUACAUCCCGACAUUAGGGAUUGUUAAGAUGGCAGAGCCAG